GUGCUCACUUCGGCAGCCCAUGUACUAAAACCGGAACCACCCAGAGAUUAGCAUGGCUCCUGCGCAAGGAUGACAUGCAAAUUCGUGAAGCGUUCCAGACUUAA
ensembl:snRNA U6 U6 spliceosomal RNA